GAGCAGUGAUUUAGAUUGUGCGCCCAUGUGAAACAAAGGGUCUUUCUCUGUCGUCUCUUUAACAAGGCGAGAACGUGCGCAUCUGAGCUC